CCCACUAAUGAGACACUGCAGAGAGCGUGGCCCUCCUCUCUCUCUCUCUCUCUCUCUCUCUCUCUCUCUCUCUCUCUCUCUCUCUCUCGAGUGCAUGCUGGGAGCGAGCGGGCUGAGCGCGUUGAGUGUGAGUGCGACAGGUUGCCGUCUGUGGCGUUCUAACUUUUCUAACUUUUUUUGCGUGUUUGUAUUGUGUCUUAUUUGUUUAUAUGUACUUUAGUUUUAAUCAUUAGGUGGCUUAUUUAUUUUGUGUCUUUGGCUGUUUUUCCCGGAGGUGCAUACCGGCUUCUGCUGGGUGCAUGGCACCUCAGGGAACAAUGGAUUUUGAAUAUUUAACCCGGCGCCAUGGCGUGAAAGUGGAGUCGAGGGUUAGCAUUGAGGAGUGCAGUCUAGCUGUUGGACAAGUCGUAGGCCACGAACAUGUAGUUUCUGGUUCAAGAAUGAACAACGCGAUUGUUUUAUUUUUGAGUUCAAUCGAGAAAACACAUGAGGUGAUCCAAACUGGAAUUGUUAUUGGGGGCGAAUUUACGCCCGUUUUUCCUCUCAGUAGUCCUUCGAGGAAAAUCACCCUGUCAAAUGUUCCUCCGUUUAUCAAGGAUGAACUUAUUGAACGCGAGUUAUCGCGAUUUGGAAAGUUAGUAUCCCCUAUAAGGAAAAUUCCCCUAAGUUGCAAGUCACCUCUUGUUAAACACAUGAUGUCUUUUAGAAGACAGGUAAAUAUUGUCCUAAAAAACGGACAGGAUGACCUAGAACUGACGCUAAAGUUUAAAGUGGAUGGCUUUGAAUAUGUCGUGUUUGCUACAUCAGACUCGAUGAUGAAAUGUUAUAGGUGUAAGAGGAUAGGGCAUCUAGCGAGAGCUUGCCCGGAAAAAAGGGAGGAAUCUGCUAAAGAACAAGAUCGGGGUGCCGAUCGGAGUGAGUCGAAUGCAGCUGGGUCUACUGACGCCACUGCGACUGGCUCUCCCGCAUCGGAUCCGAAUGCAGCUGGGUCUACUGACACCACUGCGGCUGGCUCUCCCGCAUCGGAUCUGAAUGCAGCUGAGUCUACUGACACCACUGCGGCUGGUUCCCCAGCAUCGGAUCCGUCUGCACCUAGCUCCCUUUUGACAGACGCCCCUGCGGCUGGCCCUGCCAUGUUGGUCCCCCUCGCGCCUCCGGCUGAUGGACCGGCAGCGGGUGGGUCUGUUGUGGUUGAACCUGUUGUGGUUGAACCUGUCGCGAUUGACCUUGCUGAGAAGGAGACUGUUGUGGCAGGUUGUGAUGUGGGUGAGCUCAUUUCCCUUGGGUCAGUCACAGAGAUUUCUAGGCCUCGGGUAGAAAAGACUGAAGGAUUAAUGUCAGACGUGGUUUCAGAGAUGGAAACUGAGACAUCUUUCAAAGUACCUAUAACUACAAAGAGAAAAUUGCCGGACCUUGAGAAUACGAACAAAUCUAAGAAAGCUGGAUGUACUCAGGAGGAUCAAUCCGUAGACGGAUACUCAUCUGAUUCCAGCUGGUCAGGUUGUUCGCAGGCUGAAAACUUGCCCGUUGUUUACAAAGCUGAAGAAGUAAGUAAGUUUCUACAAGACACUAAGGGGCUGAAGGGGGUGCGUGUAGAAGAUUAUUUUCAGGAUAGAGUGCAGUUUGUAAAUGAUGUUAACUGUUUAUUGAGAGAUGGAGUUUUUUCUAAACCCGAAGUC
ensembl:lncRNA